UACGUAGGUGGCAAGCGUUGUCCGGAAUUACUGGGUGUAAAGGGUGCGCAGGCGGGAUUGCAAGUUGGAUGUGAAAUACCGGAGCUUAACUCCGGAGCUGCAUCCAAAACUGUAGUUCUUGAGUGGAGUAGAGGUAAGCGGAAUUCCGAGUGUAGCGGUGAAAUGCGUAGAUAUUCGGAGGAACACCAGUGGCGAAGGCGGCUUACUGGGCUCUAACUGACGCUGAGGCACGAAAGCAUGGGUAGCAAACAGG
rnacentral:rRNA from 1 species